GAUGAACGCUGGCGGCGUGCCUAAUACAUGCAAGUCGAGCGAACAGACGAGGAGUUUGCUCCUCUGACGUUAGCGGCGGACGGGUGAGUAACACGUGGAUAACCUACCUAUAAGACUGGGAUAACUUCGGGAAACCGGAGCUAAUACCGGAUAAUAUAUUGAACCGCAUGGUUCAAUAGUGAAAGACGGUUUUGCUGUCACUAAUAGAUGGAUCCGCGCCGCAUUAGCUAGUUGGUAAGGUAACGGCUUACCAAGGCAGCGAUGCGUAGCCGACCUGAGCGGGUGAUCGGCCACCCUGGAAGUGAGACACGGUCCAGACUCCUACGGGAGGCCGCAGUAGGGAAUCUUCCGCAAUGGGCGAAAGCCUGACGGAGCAACGCCGCGUGAGUGAUGAAGGUCUUCGGAUCGUAAAGCUCUGUUAUUAGGGAAGAACAAAUGUGUAAGUAACUAUGCACGUCUUGACGGUACCUAAUCAGAAAGCCACGGCUAACUACGUG
rnacentral:rRNA from 1 species